CAAGGCAUAGCUUAAUAUAAAGCACCUGGCCUACACCCAGAAAAUCUCAAUACCACUUGAUUGCCUUGA
ensembl:Mt_tRNA